rnacentral:rRNA from 1 species
AACGAACGCUGGCGGCAGGCUUAACACAUGCAAGUCGAACGAGAUCUUCGGAUCUAGUGGCAGACGGGUGAGGAACACGUGGGAACAUCCCUUUCAGUUCGGAAUAACGUUGGGAAACUAACGCUAAUACCGGAUACGUCCUUCGGGAGAAAGAUUUAUCGCUGAAAGAUUGGCCCGCGUCUGAUUAGCUAGUUGGUGAGGUAAUGGCUCACCAAGGCUACGAUCAGUAGCUGAUCUGAGAGGAUGAUCAGCCACAUUGGGACUGAGACACGGCCCAAACUCCUACGGGAGGCAGCAGUGGGGAAUAUUGGACAGUGGGCGCAAGCCUGAUCCAGCCAUGCUGCGUGAGUGAUGACGGCCUUCGGGUUGUAAAGCUCUUUUGUCCGGGAAGAUAAUGACUGUACCGGAAGAAUAAGCCCCGGCAAACUUCGUGCCAGCCGCCGCGGUAA